ACUCGCGCGUACAACGCGUAACCAAUUUCAGUGCGCACGCGUGGGAUCUCUCAAGCUCGCAGCCAGUAAAGCCAGUCAGUGCAAUAGGGAUUUGUAUUACGAAAUGUACAUUUUGAUCACAAAAUCGACUAUUUUUCGGAAACAAAGGAUUGGAAUAUCAAACUACUACAACUGCCUGCAGAGGCAAUGUAAGCCUAAAUUAUUGUU